AUUGAACGCUGGCGGCAGGCCUAACACAUGCAAGUCGAGCGAGUGGCGGAGGGGUGAGUAGUGUCUGAGACACUGCGAGGUGGAGGGAGAUAUACACGGGAAACGGUAGCUUAUAGCACAAUCUAUCGGAUGUGCACAGGUGGGUUUAGCUAGUAGGUGGGGUAAUGGCUCACCUAGGCGACGAUCUCUCGCUGGUCUGAGAGGAUGACCAGCCACACUGGAACUGAGACACGGUCCAGACUCCUACGGGAGGCAGCAGUGGGGAAUAUGGCACAAUGGGCGCAAGCCUGAUGCAGCCAUGCCGCGUGUAUGAAGAAGGCCUUCGGGUUGUAAAGCACUUUCAGCGGGGAGGCGUUACCCGCAGAAGAAGCACCGGCUAACUCCGUGCCAGCAGCCGCGGUAAUAC
rnacentral:rRNA from 1 species